rnacentral:lncRNA from 1 species
CUGGUAGACACAUAGCGCUAUUGCAUCCAUUGGAAAGGGAGAGGGGGAGAGCGCGAGAGAAAAGGAGAGAGCAAGAGAAAGGGAGAGCGAGAAAAAUUGAUGGACAAAGAGAAAGGGAGAGAGAGAGAGAGAGCGAGAGAAAGGAAGAGAGCAAGAAAAAUUGAUGGACAAAAAAAUAGAGAGGAGAGCGAGGGAAAAGGAGGAGAGAGAGAGAGAAAGGGAGAGCGAGCGAGAGAAAGGGAGAGCGAGCGAGAGAAAGGGAGAGAGAGCGAGAGAAAGGGCGAGAGAAAGGGAGAGGGACAGGGGGAGAGACAGGGCAAGGGGGAAAGGGAGAGGAGAGCGAGGGAAAAGGAGAGGAGAGAGAGAGAAAGGGAGCGAGAGAAAGCGAGCGAGAGCGAGCGAGAGAGAGAAAGGGAGAGCGAGAGAGAGCGAGAGAAAGGGAGAGCGAGAGAGAGCGAGCAAAAGGGAGAGAGAGCGAGCGAGAGAAAGGGAGAGAGCGAGAGAAAGGGAGAACGAGAGAGGGAAAGGCGAGAGGAGAAAGAGGGAAAGGGGGAGAGAGAAAGAGAGCGAGGGCGAGAGAAAGUAGAGAGAGGAGAGGGAAAGGGGGAGAGAGAGAAAAGAGCGGGAGAGAGGGGAUGGGGAGAGGGGAAGAAGAUCGAGGGGAAGGGAGAGAGCGAGAGAAAGGGAAAGAGGGAAAGGGAGAGAGGACGAGAGAAAGGGAGAGCGAGCGAGAGAAAGGGAGAGCGAGCGAGAGACAGGGGGAGAGAGCGAGAGACAGGGGGAGAGACAGGGCAAGGGGGAAAGGGAGAGGAGAGCGAGGGAAAAGGAGAGGAGAGCGAGAGAAAGGGAGAGCGAGCGAGAGAAAGGGAGAGCGAGCGAGAGAAAGCGAGAGCGAGCGAGAGAAAGGGAGAGAGAGAAAGAGAGAGAAAGGGAGAGAGAGCGAGAGAAAGGGAAAGAGGGAAAGGGAGAGAGAAGGAGUGAGAAAAAAGUGAGAG